GUUUGACCUCAAAUCAGGGUAGGAGUACCCGCUGAACUU
rnacentral:rRNA from 1 species